rnacentral:rRNA from 1 species
ACUGAACGCUGGCGGAAUGCUUUACACAUGCAAGUCGAGCGGCAGCGCGGGGGCAACCCUGGCGGCGAGCGGCGAACGGGUGAGUAACACAUCGGAACGUACCCAGUUGUGGGGGAUAGCCCGGCGAAAGCCGGAUUAAUACCGCAUACGACCUGAGGGUGAAAGGGGGGGAUCGCAAGACCUCUCGCAGUUGGAGCGGCCGAUGGCGGAUUAGCUAGUUGGGGAGGUAAAGGCUCACCAAGGCGACGAUCCGUAGCUGGUCUGAGAGGACGACCAGCCACACUGGGACUGAGACACGGUCCAGGCUCCUACGGGGGGCAGCAGUGGGGAAUUUUGGACAAUGGGGGCAACCCUGAUCCAGCCAUUCCGCGUGAGUGAAGAAGGCCUUCGGGUUGUAAAGCUCUUUCGGCAGGAACGAAACGGUGGAGGCUAAUACCUUUCAUCAAUGACGGUACCUGAAGAAGAAGCACCGGCUAACUACGUGCCAGCCGCCGCGGUAA